GUAACACUGGAGAGAAGCUAUGACUUGCACUCUGAAUGAACGACCGGCGGAUGGGUGAGUAACGCGUAUGCAACUUGCCUCUUAGUGGGGGAUAACCCGGAGAAAUCCGGACUAAUACCGCAUAUUCUUAAUUUCUCGCAUGAGUUAUUAAGGAAAGAUUUAUUGCUAAGAGAUAGGCAUGCGUUCCAUUAGUUAGUUGGUGAGGUAACGGCUCCCCAAGGCAUCGAUGGAUAGGGGAGCUGAGAGGCUGAUCCCCCACAUUGGGACUGAGACACGGCCCAAACUCCUACGGGAGGCAGCAGUGAGGAAUAUUGGUCAAUGGAGGAAACUCUGAACCAGCCAAGUCGCGUGAAGGAUGACGGUCCUAUGGAUUGUAAACUUCUUUAGUAGGCGAGUAAGGAUAGGUACGUGUACCUAUUAGAAAGUAGCCUAAGAAUAAGUAUCGGCUAACUCCGUGCCAGCAGCCGCGGUAAUACGGAGGAUACGAGCGUUAUCCGGAUUUAUUGGGUUUAAAGGGUGCGUAGGUGGCUGAUUAAGUCAGUGGUGAAAAGCUAUGGCUCAACCAUAGUCUUGCCGUUGAUACUGGUUAGCUUGAGUGUAGAUGAUGUAGGCGGAAUGCGUAGUGUAGCGGUGUAAAUGCAUAGAUAUUACGCAGAACUCCGAUUGCGCAAGGCAGCUUACUAAACUACUACUGACACUGAGGCACGAAAGCGUGGGUAUCAAACAGGAUUAGAUACCCCUGGUAGUCCACGCCGUA
rnacentral:rRNA from 1 species